AUGCUGUGUUUGGCCUGCUAUCUUGGAGUCAAUGUUCAUCUAGAUGCAAGAGUUCAUUGUCCUGCUGCAGUUUUGUACUAUUACCUAAAUCAUGGAUCUGGUUCAGGCUUUCUUCGUACUGGGAUAUUCCUUGAUUACAUGGCAGCAGUAUCAGCAGUCAGUGCUGUAGGAUGGUUUGUUUCACCUAUUAUUAGAAGGAUGGUUUCUUUGGUGCAGUCCUAUAUGUCAAACCAGUACAACUGGAAAUCUGAGAUGGUAUCUGAUCUCAGGAAUUUGGAAACCACUUUAAUGGAUAUACUCAUCGUAAUUAGUGCGGCUGAAAGGCAACACGUAGUGGACACAAAUCAGAUACUGUUAUUGCAGCAAAUGAAAGAUGCAGUUUCUGAUGCAGAAGAUGUCUUGGAUGAGUUUGAUUAUAUGCUUUUAAAACAAAAGGGUAAGCAGAAAGGCCUUGUCAGACGCAUGGCCUCCUCUUCCCUCUCUAUUGGUAAGCGUUUGGUCAAUAUUGACAAUUUCAGGUCAGAAUUGCGGAAGGUCCUCAAAAGCUUGGAGAGAGUUAGAACUUCUGCAGACAUGUUUGUCCGAGUGAUGACAUUGGAGAGCUAUAACCCCAGUCAAUCCCUUCAAUUUUCCCAAGCAAGGAUCACAGGAUCUCUUUUGCAUGAAGAUGCAAUUUUUGGGCGAGAAAAUGAGAUUGCUCAGCUAGUGGAUCGGCUGGUGAAUCAAUUUGAUGAAUGUGCACUGAACGGUGAACAUAACUUCAGGACGGAGGUUCACACUAUUAUUGGUGUUGGAGGCAUUGGCAAGACUACUCUAGCUCAACUUAUUUAUAACAAUGAGCAAAUAGCUGAUACUUUUGACCUAAGAAUGUGGGUUUGUGCUUCCAAUAAUUUUGACAAAACUAGACUUAUCAAAGAGAUGAUAGCAUUCACAACUGAUGGUGAAAAUGCUGAACUGGCCAACUUUAGUUUCAGCAUGCUCCAGGAAGAACUUGAACGAAGACUUUCGUGCAAGAGAUUUCUCUUAGUGUUGGAUGAUGUGUGGUAUGAUGAGAAAUACGGAGUACACAUCAAUAAGGAGAUGUGGAUGGAAUUAUUAGCUCCCGCCAAAAAGUCAGCAAAUAUCUAUUCUAAGAGUCUAGGGCGAAGCAUAUCAGGAAGCAAGAUUCUAGUGACAACCCGAACAGAAUUGGUUGCAAAAAUGCUAGACUCUAGAAGCUCGUUCAUUUUACAAGGUCUUGGAAGAGAUGAUAGUUGGUUAUUGCUCAGACGAUGUGCAUUUGGCAGCAAGAAGCCAGAAGAUUAUCCGGAGUUGAAUGGAAUUAGAGAUCAAAUUGUUCAGAAACUUAAGGGCUCGCCUCUAGCAUUGAAGGUUAUCGGAGGGUAUUUAAAUGGCGAGGGCAGAGAACUAUUGUGGGAGGAUGUUCUUCACAUUAAUGUACUCAAUCCAAACGAUAUUUUGACCAUCUUACAUUUAAGUUAUGAAAGUUUGCCAGAACACCUCCAACAGUGCUUUGCAUAUUGUAGUUUAUUCCCAAAGGAUUAUCGUAUUGAUCCAAAUAGAUUGAUCUGGAUGUGGAUAGCUCAGGGCCUUGUUCAUCUAGAUGGAAACACCAGUAGGAGCUUGGCAGAUAUUGGAAGGGGCUAUUUCAGUGAUUUGCUAGCUCGGUCUUUUUUCCAAGUGCUCCGCUAUGGGGGUCAAACAUAUUACACUAUGCAUGAUUUAAUGAAUGACCUCGCACUUCACGUUUCCCAUGGGGAAUGCUUUAGGGUUGACCGUGGCAGCAUUGGGGUGUUACCUCAUUAUAUUAGGCAUUUGUCCGUGUCUGCUGAACAACUGGGAGAUCUUGUGAACUAUGAUGGUCUUGGAAGACUGCGCACAUUUAUAGUUCUGAAUGAAUCUUGGUUCUGCUCCAAAGUCUGCCUGAGUCAAGAUAUACUCAAUAAACUCAAGAGUGUGCGGGUGCUGGAUGCAAGUGGGUGCUGCUUUGAAAGUUUGCCUGAAGCCAUCAAUGAUCUGAUACACCUGCGUUAUCUAGCCAUCCGACGCACUUAUUACCCACUUCCUGCAACAAUCUCCAGACUCAAUCAUCUACAGGUCUUGUCCGUGCAGUAUCAUUCAUGUGAUUCCUCCAGGAUAUCAUGCUCAAACAAGAGAAAACAACUGAAAUAUUCAAGGGGAGAAGUGAACACUACUGGAGGUCGUUUCAGUCUUCCUGAAAGCAUUAGCAGGCUUAUUACCUUGGUGCAUGUUGAUGUAGAGAAGGCUUACACUGUCAUGUUAUCGGGUAUGUAUCAGCUUCCAUCUGUCGAGGGUUCGGGAGAAUUCCUUGUUAAUAAGGAGGAGCAAAGUUUGGUCCAACUUCAGGAUUUCAACAAGAUCCAGGGAGAGAUUGCUGUUAGGUUACUGGAGAACGUAAAAAGUAGAGAGGAGGCUGCUAAGUCUCAUCUAGACUUGAAGGAACACAUAUCCAAGUUGGAGCUGGAAUGGGGACCGUGUGAUGGUGCUCAUGAUAAGGAUGUGGGUUUUCAGGUACUUGAUGUAUUAAAACCACACCAAAAUCUUGAACAACUGACAAUCAGUGGAUACCCAGGUGUCUGCUCUCCUUCUUGGCUGGAGUCUGGUUGGCUGAGAAGAUUGAAAUUGAUCUGUCUACGAGAUUGUAAAAGAUUGGAGGUACUUCCACCUUUAGGGGAUCUCCCCUUACUCAGAACUCUUGAAGUACGGAGAAUGGAAGAACUAAAAGCACUCGGCCAGGAGUUCUUUGGCCAGGCUGGAUUUCCUUCUUUGGAGAUAUUGCUACUAGAGCGCUUACCUAAACUGGAGUGGUGUCUUGUGGACAAUGAUCAAGUGUUACAGAAUCUCAAACAUCUAUCUGUUUCGAGCUGUCCACGGUUAAGAGCAUAUCCCACCCAUCCUCGUACACUCAAACAUAUAGCUGUACUUGACAAAGAAGAUAUCCAAGCUAAGGUUCACACUUAUAGCUGUGAACUAUCAAGAUCAUUUUGUCGCCUGUUAUCGAGCUACUUCCAUGUUUUUCAUGCUCAUCACCUAGAAUCUGUAGAAAAUAUGGAUAUUUAUGUCAACCAUUUAGCACACAUGCCCAGGACAUUGUUUAACAAUCUGAAAUCACUCAAAAUGUUGUAUAUAUACGGUAUCGAUCGGGCCAACACAUACUCAGUAAUUACUACAUUCUGGGAUGAGAAUGGGAGCACCGUACUUCCUUCCUCACUUAUAUGCCUUAAAUUAGGACGGUGCUACCUGCAACCAUCCUCUUUCGCAAAGCUGUUGAAGAACCUCCCGUCGCUUGGUACACUAUGCUUAAGUGAAUGUAACACUGUUGAGAUACCUGGUCCACCGUUAAGGCUGAACCAUUUGAGGAUGCUGAAACGGUUGGACAUUUAUAAAUGUGAUUGGAUUUCAUCUUUUACGGGAUCAGAAGCACUGCUGUCCCUUGAAGAUAUGAAGAUAGAUCAUUGUUAUGACCUGGAAUCCGUACCAGACUUAGAUGACAUGCCAUCUCUUCAGAAACUACAUUUGUAUCAUUGCCCUCAAGUUAUGCGACUGUCCAAAACAGGCCACCAAACUUCACUGACUGGACUGGUUGUAAGAUCGUGCAAUUCGCUAUUAUCUCUGCAGAAGUUGUGUGACCUUGUUUCCCUUGUGAAGCUGACGAUUAUAAGUUGUUCUGAUUUAUUGUGGCUUCCUGAUAUGGAUGGCUUUUAUUCGCUUCGGGCUCUCUCGAUUUCUGGGUGCCCCCGGCUGAUGUCACUGCCACGGAGGGGUCUUCCUGUAUCACUUGAAACGUUUGUCCUGUCUCGAUGCCAUCAAGCACUGGAGGAGCAGUUUCAGCGGAAGGAAGGUCCAGAUUGGAACAAGUUUGCCGCCCUUCCAGGAUGCAGGGAGGCCCGUACAUGGUUAUGGUAA
rnacentral:rRNA from 1 species